AGAGUUUGAUCCUGGCUCAGAACGAACGUUGGCGGCGUGGAUGAGGCAUGCAAGUCGCGCGAGAAAGCGCCUUCGGGUGCGAGUACAGCGGCGGACGGGUGAGUAACACGUGACCGACCUGCCCUUGAUUCUGGGACAACAGCGGGAAACUGCUGCUAAUACCGGAUGGUCCAUCUGGACUGCAUGGUUUGGAUGGUAAAGGUGGGGAUCCUGCGGGACCUACUGAUCGAGGAGGGGGUUGCGGCCUAUCAGCUAGUUGGCGGGGUAACGGCCCACCAAGGCGACGACGGGUAGCAGGCCUGAGAGGGUGGUCUGCCACACUGGGACUGAGACACUGCCCAGACUCCUACGGGAGGCUGCAGUCGAGGAUCUUCCGCAAUGGGCGCAAGCCUGACGGAGCGACGCCGCGUGGAGGACGAAGGCCUUAGGGUUGUAAACUCCUGUCGAGGGUUAUGUAUUGCGUUGUACGAACAGUGCGACGAGUGACGUAAGCCCUGGAGGAAGCACCGGCUAACUCUGUGCCAGCAGCCGCGGUAAUACAGAGGGUGCAAACGUUGUUCGGAAUUACUGGGCAUAAAGCGCACGUAGGCGGUGCGUCAAGUGCGGGGUGAAAUCCCACGGCUUACCCGUGGAACAGCUUUGCAUACUGACGUGCUGGAGUGCGGUAGAGGAGAGCGGAACUCUUGGUGGAGCGGUGAAAUGCGUAGAUAUCAAGAGGAACACCGAAGGCGAAGGCAGCUCUCUGGGCCGUUACUGACGCUGAGGUGCGAAAGCCAGGGGAUCAAACGGGAUUAGAUACCCUGGUAGUCC
rnacentral:rRNA from 1 species